rnacentral:rRNA from 1 species
AUGGGAGAACAUGCUGAGAAGGAGCAUGCCGAUUUCGAGGCGAGGGUCAAGAGGACGAUAUACAUCGACCACCUCUCCCCUGUGGUUACUCGCCAAGUUAUCCGAGCAGCUCUUUCCCAGUGUGCGAAUGUUGUCAGCGUGGAGUUCAUUGAGAACUACACAAUCCCGUACGACAUCCCUGCCGCCGCGCUGGUGGAAUUGGACGACGAGUCGCAGGCCAAGUCUGCUGUGGACUUGAUGCGAGAUUUCCCCUUCAUAAUCGGUGGAAUGCCCAGGCCUGUCCGGGCUAGCUUGGCAAGGCCCGAAAUGUUUGCUGAUCGUCCUAGCCUGCCUGGCUCGAAGAUGGAGUUCCUUUGGCUGAAACAAGGAGAUCCGGAGUAUGAUGGGAUGAGCAAGCUGAAGAGCCUUGCUAAGAGGCAGGAAGCAGAGAACAUGGCGCUCAUCAAGAGUAUACUGGAGGAGGAGAAGGAACUGGCGGCUCAGCAGCAGAUAAUGCUUGACGCCAACUACUACAAGUACGACCUGCUCGAGAGUAUCGUGCAAAACGGGACCAUCAAGAACCUCGCUGGCCAUUAUAGGGUCAACUUGUUCGACAGCUGA